GGAGGGGGAGGAUUCACCUCCGACUCUGCAGCUGUAAAGCCGAACCCUGUUCUCUGUUCUCCCUGAGCGGACUACCUGCUGUUCUGAGGGAAACUCUGGUUCCUGUGCAGAAACUAAACCCACACUAACUCUGACCCAUGAAGGAUUUCUGCACAUGUUCCGGAUUCUUCGUGGAUUUUCUGUCUCCUAUCGGACAGUAGAGAGUGAAGCUUCCGCUGGAGGAUAAAGAGCAGCGAGAUGGGAAACACGAUACUGAUGGCGCUGGUGUUGGUUCACCUGCCGACAGAGCUGCUGUCCAUUCAGGUGAUCGUUCCGCAGACGGAGAGGAGGACGAUGCUGUUCGCCAGCAUCAUUCUGCGCUGCGAUUACUCAACUUCAGCAAACCCUCAGGAUGUUCUGGUCACUUGGAGGUACAAAUCCUUCUGCAAAGACCCCAUACUGGAGUACUACUCCACAGCCUAUCAGGCGGCUCUGCAACUGGGUCAGGACCCCUCCAACGACUGUCCGGACCGCCAGCGCACCGUCCGGACAGUGAUUCAGAAGAGGGGCCUCAAUGAACCCAUCCUGGGAGCAGACUACAGAGAACGCAAGAUUACCAUUCAGAACAAGGCUGACCUGGUCAUCACUGAGGUGAUGUGGUGGGAUAACGGGGUGUAUUUCUGCAACAUCGAUGCUGCUGGAGACACGACAGGAGACUCAGAUCGAGAAGUCAAACUCAUCGUGUUCCACUGGCUGACGGUUCUGUUAAUCGUCAUCGGCGCUCUCAUGCUCAUCAUGCUCUUCUGCAUCUGCUGCUGUCAGUGCUGCCCACAGAGGUGCUGCUGCUAUGUCCGCUGUCCAUGCUGUCCUCAGACCUGCUGCUGCCCAGAAAAAGCUGUGAUGCAGCACAGGAUGCUGCAAGAGGCUCAGAAGGCCAUGGCUCCCUGGAUGAACGGUCAGCCCAUUUACGCUCCCAUCAGCUCCAACGUCUCCUCCCAGGGCAUCCCCCUACUCUAUUCAGGUUCAUAUGCAGACUACCCAACCAAGCAGAACUUCUCCAUGGCUCCCAUGGAGCUGUCUCCCAUGGCCCUGCAGCCUCCUCCUCCUCCACAUCAUGUCAACGGUAGCAUGCGUAGCAGCAUUCAAGGUACCAACCAGGUGUUGGACUAUCUGGAGAACCAGGUGAGAGGGCUGGACGUCGUGGCGCCUCAAAUGGCUCCAGUCCACAACAUGCACCCAUUACAGUCCCACCCCCAGCCCCAGGUGGCCCCUCCAGCCGUCCCCUACACCCCUGGACCUCCCAGCAUGCUGUCUGCGCUGGAUGAGAUGGGGGUGAGAGGGGUGGAGAGGAGGGUGAUCACUCUGCCUCCUAUUAUCCAGCGUGUUCCUGGAAGUAGAGAUGCAGCCAGAGGAGGCCAGAGGAUGUCCAGCCGGUCCAGCGGCAGCACCAACCGCUCUGGUUUCCCUAGCGACCGCCGUGGAUACAGGCACGGAGACGUCUCUCCUCCCAGACGGGGGAUCCUGCGUGAUUACAGCGAUGAUUCGGAUCGGGACGCCAGGCGGCUAAGAGAACCUCACAGAGGGUCGAGGAAUGACCGAGGAAGCUCCAACAGCAGGAGAGGAGGUGGAUCCAGACCACGAGCCCGAAGCAGAGACGACUUGAUGGAGGAGCUGCACAGCAGAACAGCUCGGAGGGAGAGGAGCUAUUCUCCUCCUCAGCACCGCAGAGCAUCCUGGAGCUCAGAGGAGGAGGACAGCAGGAGGGGAAAAGGAGGUAGAGGCGGCGACUGGCCAGAGAAGCCUCCCAGCUACUCCUCCAUCGAGAUCCAGGCUGGACGCAGUAACGGCAGGAGGAACUACAACCGCCUUUCUCAUUUCAGGUGUAAAUGCAGGAGUAGGCCAAUGCACAACAGACCCGUGGAGCAUUCACAGAAACGACAAAAUCAGAACAACAAGAAGAGGGAAAUCUGGGAGGAAACUGAGAAUCUGACAGAUCUGUCAGAAUCUGUCAGAUAGGCCACGCCCCCCCGCUGUCCGGUGGUCUCUGGAGGAUGGAGUCCCAGGUAUUAGAGGGUGUAGUCCCCCUCGUCCCGGUUCAUGGAGCAGCUCGCAUGUCAGCAAGGAUAGAAGCUCCCAUAGCAGCACCAGCGUAGUCAUCUGAAACAUUUCUAUCUGUUCACCUUUUCCUGAAUAUUUCCACAACGGCGAACAUGAAGACAAAGAGUAGGUACCUUAAUCUGUCCUGUGGGCUGAAAAUUAGAGUUGUUCUUGUGAAUUUGAAUAGUGAAAAUGUACUGUAUGGUUAUAGUUGUACUCUGUAAGCACUGUAUUUUUAUGUAUGCUGAAAAAGAGGGCAGUUAAGGCUGUAUAAUGCAGAUAAGAUGUAGUUGUAUUUAGGCCUCGUCCACAUGUACAGGGGUAUUUUUUAAACAGCUUUUUCAAUGUGUUUUUCAUUUGCAUGUAGGCAAUUUUAGAUCCGUAGAAACUCAGGUUCUGGUAAACGUUCUCCUUUGUGAAGACAUUCAGAGACUCAGUUUACAUUAACAGGGAAAACUGAGGAAAUUGUGCAUUUGCUUGCCUGAAUACAAAACCUCUGUUGUUUACAAGAAGUGAUUUUAUGCAGCUGUUGGCGUGCCCAAACUAAUGCUCAUCUUUUUACGGCACUUUUUAGACUUUAGUAGUUAUUGCAGCCAAUUUGCUGGAAGUGCACGAAAAAUUAACAGAAUUUAAUCAUGCUACAACUUUAAUUUGCUGCUUAAACGAAAACAGUUGUCAUUUUCUGUGACUAAUUUUCAAGAGAAUGCUGCCUGAUAUCACACCAUUUACUCUGAUUUAAGAGUUUUUGAAUCCAGUGAGUUUGUUUUUCUUCACUUCAUUUUUGUUCACAACUUAUUUGUGUUAAAAAUUUAAAUCCGUGCCCAGAAUGGCGUGUGUCGAGUACAACGUCAGGUCUAAAUGGUAUUCAGAGUUUUGAGAAAAGUUCCCAGCUGAUUUUUUCAGCUGUUUUUAAAUCUUUUUAUUAUUUCCAAACAGAUACACUCACAAACAGAAUCACCAUGAUCAUUCCAGAAUAAUGAAUUCUUUCCAAAUUGAGUUAUUAAUUACUCUGAUGAAAAUUCCUGUAUUUUUUUAUAUAAAUGGAAGAAAAACAACAUAAUACACCCCUAAUGGCUACAAGGUUAGUGUCAUAGUGCCACCUGGUGGUUUGUCGUGCCCUUAACAGGGCUUCUGCUCAGUUUUGCAUUUUCAUUUCUUAUUCUAUGUAGAGAAUAAUAAACCCUGUUUAAAGACAUGUUGUGCUGAUGGACGAGGCUUCAGUCUGAUCUCUUGCUAUUGAGAUAAUUAAUGUUUGAUUCUUGUCCUGCUGUCUAACGCUGUCAUCUGUAAUUGUGCUAUCGUUUUGGUGAUGGAUAAAUUGUCUUUUUGGUGAAGCAGAUAUCAAAGUUUCAACAAUCAGAUUGUUGAAUACUGUAAGAUUUUAUGGAGUAUGUAGGUUUGUCAUUGUGGACCUGUUAUGUGUCUUUUUUAGAAGACAGAGACUGUGGAUGUGUUUUUGUUUUUUUACAGUAAUUAACUCAACUAUUUAAAGAAUUUUAUUUCAGAUGUAUUUGUCCAUGAUAACAUUAGAAGGCAGCAGAAAUACAAGCUACACUACAUAGACAUUUCUAGAAAACAGACAGAUUAGUGGAAGAUUCUGCUGUAAUUACUGGACCCACAAUAACACACAAUAAUUGUGAUUUUCAUUAAUGUUUGCUUAUGUUAUGAACACUAAUACAGAUGUACCAUUAUGACAUGUAUGUUUUUAAUAAAACAUUUUCUAUACAGCUAGUGAAGUGGGUCAUUUAUGUUCUUAGAUUUAAUUUGAAUUCAAAAGCUUUAUUUAAAAAUGGAUCCUGACACUUAUUACCAAAGUGGUGAAGUCCCCCUUUGCCUUAGAUCUGCAGGUUUUAAUUUGAUUACUUGCAGGUUUGUUUGGAACUUUGUGGCACUAAAAUCAAAUAUCAGCUGCGUCUUUAAUUCUUCUACACUUUUGUGACGCUGUUUUUAUUUUAGUUCAUUACUGCAAACUACCUGAUAGCAAAAAAAAUACAACAUCAAAACAAUAAUGGGAUUUUUUUUGUAAAUACACAAAAUGCAGAUUUAAAAUGAGCAAUUUUUACUUGAUGUAUGAAAGGGGGAUAAGAUCAGAACGUGAAAGUGUUUCAGUGCAGAAAGGUGAAUCGUGUGUUCUGUACAUCAGAUUUGUGGCUGUUUUUUUUUUUAUUUUUAAUUUUAUUUUUUUUCUGUUAAAAAUUUUUUUCACCCUUGUAUAUAUUGUAAAUAAAGCUGCUGUAACAAUGUAAAUUUCCCCUGGAGUGGGGAGAAAUAAAGAACUUUAUCUUUA